rnacentral:rRNA from 2 species
UUCCAUCGGCCUCAGAUUGGUAGGACUACCCGCUGAACUUAA